UUGGUCUUUUCAGGACUGCAAUAUGGAUUCCAUCACCAUCAUAUGGUUUCUUUGAUCUUAUAAACAUCACAGCCGCGACGAACAAUUUCUCUUUCCAAAACAAGUGGAUUUGGUUCUAUCUAUAAGGGUGUGCUUUACAAUGGAAAGGAAAUAGCAGCGAUAAGGCUGUGAACAGAAGAUCAUAUGAAUACUUGAAAAAAAACAGAGCGCUUUUGAAUUGGACGAGAUGCUUCGAAAUAAUCUGUGGGAUUGCUGCUAUUGUGAUCUUAUAUCUUCAUCAAUAUUCAAGAUUAAGAAUCAUUCAUAGAGAUCUAAAGACAAGCAAUAUUCUACUAGAUGCUUCUAUGUACCCCAAAAUUGCAAAUUUUGGUACGGCUAGGAUAUUUAGGGAGAUAAAAAUGAAAAUAAAACAAAUCGUGUGGUUGGGACAUAGGGGAGAUGGAGAUGGUGUUGCUGCCUGCGAAGUGGUGGUUUGGUUGACGGUGUUGGGUGGGGUUGGGAGAGGCUGUUUGGAGUUGGGUGGGUUUGGGAUGGUGGUGGUUUAAGGGUGAUUGGACAUGACAAAAUAAUAAAAGACGUAUUGCCUGACAAAAUAAUAAAAUAUGUAUGACUAAUGGUGAUUGGACAUGAUGUCCUUUAGCCUGACGAACUCAUGUCACGAAUGGUUUAUUAUGGUGACAAACAUCGAUAGUUACGGACACAUAUGUAACACACUGAUUAAUAGGGUGACUAAAGCCUGUAGUCACGAAUAAAGGUGACUAAUAGUACAAAUAGUCACCAAAGAAAAGGUCACUGUUGUCCAAAUAUUUUGUAGUGUGUUAUGACUCAUACUUAUGAGAUGCGGGUAGCUUGACCAAAUUCAGUACGAUUUUAGGUGAAUUUGGCUUAACGUGGACAGUGGUGAGAGCUUAGGCACCUAUGACUAUGAAUAGUGCAAGUAGCUAAUAUUUUUCUUCUCAUGAAGUUUGGUUGAUUGUUUUAAUAUUAGAUUUUCAUAAUUAAAUCUUGCUAGAAUUUAUAUAAAUGCAAAAACUUCAGUCCAACCAUGUUAAUACCUACCUCUUGCUCCUCAUUUUAUUUUCUA